CAAUGCAUCUAGUGGCGAACGGUCGCGUAACACGUAAGCAACCUGCCCUAAGGUGGGGGACAACAGUCCGAAAGGAUUGCUAAUACCGCAUGUGGUCCAUUUUUCGCAUGGAGAAUGGUCUAAAGCCUAGUGCGCCUUAGGAUGGGCUUGCGGCCUAUCAGGUAGUUGGUGGGGUAACAGCCUACCAAGCCGACGACGGGUAGCUGGUCUGAGAGGACGAUCAGCCGGAUUGGGACUGAGAUACGGCCCAGACUCCUACGGGGGGCAGCAAUUAGGAAUCUUGCACAAUGGGGGAAACCCUGAUGCAGCGACGUCGCGUGAAGGAUGAAGGAUCUCGGUCUGUAAACUUCUUUAGUGGGGGACGAAGAAUGUGACGGUACCCCAAGAAUAAGCCCCGGCUAACUACGUGCCAGCAGCCGCGGUAAUACGUAGGGGGCGAGCGUUGUCCGAAGUUACUGGGCGUAAAGCGCGCGUAGGCGGUCUAUUAAGUCUGAGGUGAAAGGUUCAGCGCUCAACGCGAACAGUGCCUUGGAUACUGGUAGACUUGAGUGUGGCAGAGGAGUAUGGAAUUCCUGGUGUAGCGGUGAAAUGCGUAGAUAUCAGGAGGAAUACCGAUGGCGAAGGCAGUACUCUGGGCUAACACUGACGCUGAGGUGCGAAAGCGUGGGGAGCAAACGGGAUUAGAUACCCCGGUAGUCCACGCUGUAAACGAUGAGUGCUAGGUGUAGGAGGUAUCGACCCCUCCUGUGCCGUCGCUAACGCAUUAAGCACUCCGCCUGGGGAGUACGGCCGCAAGGUUGAAACUC
rnacentral:rRNA from 1 species